GAUUCUGGCUCAGGAUGAACGCUGGCGGCGUGCUUAACACAUGCAAGUCGAACGGUGCUUAAUGAAACCUAGUGAUUAAGCACAGUGGCGGACGGGUGAGUAACGCGUGGGUAACCUGCCGCAUGCAGGGGGACAACAGAGGGAAACUUCUGCUAAUACCGCAUAAGCGCACGGGAUCGCAUGAUCCAGUGUGAAAAGAUUUGUCGGCAUGCGAUGGACCCGCGUCUGAUUAGGCAGUUGGUGAGGUAACGGCCCACCAAACCUACGAUCAGUAGCCGGCCUGAGAGGGUGAACGGCCACAUUGGGACUGAGACACGGCCCAAACUCCUACGGGAGGCAGCAGUGGGGAAUAUUGCACAAUGGGGGAAACCCUGAUGCAAGCGACGCCGCGUGAGUGAAGAAGCAUUUCGGUGCGUAAAGCUCUGUCAGCAGGAAAGAAAAUGACGGUACCUGACCAAGAAGCCCCGGCUAACUACGUGCCAGCCGCCGC
rnacentral:rRNA from 1 species